rnacentral:rRNA from 1 species
GACGAACCGUACGAACGUUAUUCGGAAUUACUGGGCUUAAAGGGUGCGUAGGCGGCGCGGCAAGUUGGGUGUGAAAUCCCUCGGCUCAACCGAGGAACUGCGCCCAAUACUGCCGUGCUCGAGGGAGACAGAGGUGAGCGGAACUUAGGGUGGAGCGGUGAAAUGCGUUGAUAUCCUAAGGAACACCCGUGGCGAAAGCGGCUCACUGGGUCUCUUCUGACGCUGAGGCACGAAAGCUAGGGUAGCGAAC